CCUACGGGAGGCAGCAGUGAGGAAUAUUGGUCAAUGGGAGAGAUCCUGAACCAGCCAAGCCGCGUGAGGGAAGACGGCCCUAUGGGUUGUAAACCUCUUUUGUCGGAGAACAAAACCCGGGACGUGUCCCGCACUGCGUGUAUCCGACGAACAAGCAUCGGCUAACUCCGUGCCAGCAGCCGCGGUAAUCCGGAGGAUGCGAGCGUUAUCCGGAUUUAUUGGGUUUAAGGGGUGCGUAGGGGGGCCGUUAAGUCCGCGGUAAAAUUGCGGGGCUAAACCGCGGCUAGCCGUUGAAACUGGCAGACUAGAGUGGGCGAGAAGUAAGCGGAAUGCGCGGUGUAGCGGUGAAAUGCAUAGAUAUCGAGCAGAACUCCGAUUGCGAAGGCAGCGUACCGGAGCCAGACUGACGCUGAGGCACGAAAGCGUGGGGAUCGAACAGGAUUAGAUACCCGUGUAGUC
rnacentral:rRNA from 1 species